CCUACGGGACGCAGCAGUGGGGAAUAUUGCACAAUGGGGGAAACCCUGAUGCAGCGACGCCGCGUGAGUGAAGAAGUAUUUCGGUAUGUAAAGCUCUGUCAGCAGGGAAGAAAAUGACGGUACCUGACCAAGAAGCCCCGGCUAACUACGUGCCAGCAGCCGCGGUAAUACGUAGGGGGCAAGCGUUAUCCGGAUUUACUGGGUGUAAAGGGAGCGUAGACGGCAGGGCAAGUCUGGAGUGAAAGGCGGGGGCUCAACCCCCGGACUGCUCUGGAAACUGCCAGGCUGGAGUGCAGGAGAGGUAA
rnacentral:rRNA from 1 species